UACAACGCACUAUUUGUUCAUAGUAGUCGUUGCUGUCAACAGCACGCUGCUAACCAUCAACGCAGGAGACUAUAUCUUCUACACAGACUGGAUGUGGACCUCCUUCGUAGUAUUCUCGGUAUCGCAAUCCACGAUGCUUGCGGUAGGCGCGAUAUACUACAUGCUCUUCACAGGAGUACCAGGGACGGCCACAUACUACGCCACAAUCAUGACAAUCUACACAUGGGUCGCAAAGGGUGCAUGGUUCGCACUGGGCUAUCCGUACGACUUCAUUGGGCUACAAGACGGAACAAGCACGCUGCAAUCAUCAUCGGUGGAACACUGGUUGGACUAUCGUUCCCGCUGUUCAACAUGGUCAACCUGUUGCUCGUGAGAGAUCCAUUGGAGGUGGCGUUCAAGUAUCCUAGACCGACAUUGCCGGCGUACAUGACUCCUAUAGAACCUCAGGUAGGUAAGUUCUAUAACAGUCCAGUAGCCUUGGGCUCUGGAGCAGGAGCGGUGCUGACAGUGCCGAUCGCUGCGUUAGGUGCGAAGUUGAACACGUGG
rnacentral:rRNA from 1 species